rnacentral:rRNA from 1 species
GCAGUAGGGAAUCUUCCACAAUGGGCGAAAGCCUGAUGGAGCAAUGCCGCGUGAGUGAAGAAGGUCUUCGGAUCGUAAAGCUCUGUUGUUAGAGAAGAACAAGAGGUGUAGUAACUGGCACCUCCUUGACGGUAUCUAACCAGAAAGUCACGGCUAACUACGUGCCAGCAGCCGCGGUAAUACGUAGGUGACAAGCGUUGUCCGGAUUUAUUGGGCGUAAAGCGAGCGCAGGCGGUCUUUUAAGUCUGAUGUGAAAGCCCACGGCUCAACCGUGGAGGGUCAUUGGAAACUGGAAGACUUGAAUGCAGAAGAGGAAAGUGGAAUUCCAUGUGUAGCGGUGAAAUGCGUAGAUAUAUGGAGGAACACCAGUGGCGAAGGCGACUUUCUGGUCUGUAAUUGACGCUGAGGCUCGAAAGCGUGGGGAGCGAACAGGAUUAGAUACCCUGGUAGUCCACGCCGUAAACGAUGAGUGCUAAGUGUUGGAGGGUUUCCGCCCUUCAGUGCUGGAGCUAACGCAUUAAGCACUCCGCCUGGGGAGUACGGCCGCAAGGCUGAAACUCAAAGG